AAAAAGGUAAUGAUAGAAAAAAGUAAUUAUAAUAUACUAUGAAGAGAGCUAGUGGCUGGUGUAAACUAGUUAGUAUUUAUAAUGAAAUACAUUCUUAAACUUAAUGCUGAACUAUACAGGAUUAUACUGUAUUAAGUAAGUAUAUACGUAUGUCUACGUUAUAAGACAAAGAGCGGAUAUAUUUAUUUUAAAAUAAAUAUAUCAACAUGGGUGGUAACGCGGAUACUUCGUCCCUUAU
rnacentral:ncRNA from 1 species